AUCAAAAACAUCACCUCCAGCAUUCCCAGUAUUGGAGGCAUUGCCUGCCCAGUGACAACUGUUUAACGGCCGCGGUAUCCUGACCGUGCAAAGGUAGCAUAAUCAUUUGUUCUCUAAAUAAGGACUUGUAUGAAUGGCCGCACGAGGGUUUUACUGUCUCUUACUUCCAAUCAGUGAAAUUGACCUUCCCGUGAAGAGGCGGGAAUGCACAAAUAAGACGAGAAGACCCUAUGGAGCUUUAACUAACCAACCCAAAGAGAAUAAAUUUAACCAUUAAGGAGUAACAACAAUCUCCAUGAGUUGGUAGUUUCGGUUGGGGUGACCUCGGAGAAUAAAAAACCCUCCGAGCGAUUUUAAAGACUAGACCCACAAGUCAAAUCACUCUAUCGCUCAUUGAUCCAAAAACUUGAUCAACGGAACAAGUUACCCUAGGGAUAACAGCGCAAUCCUAUUCAAGAGUCCAUAUCGACAAUAGGGUUUACGACCUCGAUGUUGGAUCAGGACAUCCUGAUGGUGCAACCGCUAUCAAAGGUUCGUUUGUUCAACGAUUAAAGUCCUAC
rnacentral:rRNA from 1 species